AGUGAACGCUGGCGGUAGGCCUAACACAUGCAAGUCGAACGGCAGCACAGUAAGAGCUUGCUCUUACGGGUGGCGAGUGGCGGACGGGUGAGGAAUACAUCGGAAUCUACUUUUUCGUGGGGGAUAACGUAGGGAAACUUACGCUAAUACCGCAUACGACCUACGGGUGGAAGCAGGGGAUCUUCGGACCUUGCGCGAUUGAAUGAGCCGAUGUCGGAUUAGCUAGUUGGCGGGGUAAAGGCCCACCAAGGCGACGAUCCGUAGCUGGUCUGAGAGGAUGAUCAGCCACACUGGAACUGAGGCACGGUCCAGACUCCUACGGGAGGCAGCAGUGGGGAAUAUUGGACAAUGGGCGCAAGCCUGAUCCAGCCAUACCGCGUGGGUGAAGAAGGCCUUCGGGUUGUAAAGCCCUUUUGUUGGGAAAGAAAAGCAGCAGGUUAAUACCCCGCUGUUCUGACGGUACCCAAAGAAUAAGCACCGGCUAACUUCGUG
rnacentral:rRNA from 1 species